GGACCGGUCAUGGUCCUGUCACAUCAACACCGUGGUUAAGAAAGCGUCUCUUCUUCCUCAGAAGACUUAGAGACUUCCAUCUGCCACUGAAGGUGCUCAAGAACUUUUACUCCUGCACCAUCGAGAGCAUCCUGACGGGAAACAUCUGCACAUGGUUUAGGAACAGCACCAAGCAGGACAGACGAGAUCUGCAAAGAGUGGUGCGCUCGGCCGAACGCAUUCAAUCAGAGCUCCCUGACCUGCUGUCCAUCUACACCAAGCUGUGCAAGACCAAAGCUAGGAAGAUUGUGAUGGACCUCUCCCAUCCCAACAAUGGACUCUUCUCACUGUUGAGGUCUGGGAAGCGCUUCCGCUCUGUUAAGGCCAAAACAGAGAGAAUGAAGAGGAGCUUCUUCCCCCAGGCUAUUCGGGCCCGGAACCAGGUGUAGGACUGGACUCUCCCACACACAUCACAUCACCAUAAGACUGGACUCUCACACACAUCACAUCACCACACACACUCUGGUUUUUCUUCAUGCACACUUCCUGUAAUUUAUAAUCUAUUUCUGCUAUUUGCACAUUUUUACUCUAAAUUUCUAAGUUAAAUCUGUUACAAGAUUACAGCUACAAGCAUAUCACCUCAUGUCAUACUGUGUAUGGUUGUGUGUGUGAAAAAUUGGAAUUUGAAAAAUGUACAGGUAUAUUGUUUGUACCUAGGCCAGCCCACUAUCAGAACAUUCUUGUUAUUACUAAUGUCACAUCUUUUGCAUGCACUAUUCUCACCAUGAACAGUAAAGACAGAACAAAAAAAAAAAAAAAGAAUCACACACUAGCCCGUAAUUUACCUUCUUUAUCAAACAGUCUAAUUACUACGGUGGCCCCUAGAGACAAAGCACGUACAAACUCCAAAACACUUGCAAACUCCAAAACACAUGCAAAUUCCAAAACACAUGCAAACUCAAAAACACUUGCAAACUAAAAAACACGUACAAACUCCAAAACACUUGCAAAAUCCAAAACACGUACAAACUCCAAAACACUUGCAAAAUCCAAAACACGUAAAAACUCCAAAACACUUGCAAGCUAAAAAACACAUGCAAACUCCAAAACACGUACAAACUCCAAAACACUUACAAACUCAAAAACACUUGCAAACUCCAAAACACGUACAAACUCCAAAACACAUGCAAACUCCAA
ensembl:lncRNA